rnacentral:rRNA from 1 species
AGAGAGAGACAUGCGCGCAUAUCAAUAAGCGGAGGAAAAGAAACUAACUAGGAUUCCCUCAGUAACGGCGAGUGAAGCGGGAAGAGCUCAAAUUUGAAAUCUUCAAGGUUCUACCUUGACGAAUUGUAGUUUAAAGAAGUGUUUUCUGUUGGAGUUUUGGUAAAAGUUCUUUGGAAUAGGACAUCAUAGAGGGUGAGAAUCCCGUAUUUGACCAUUAUUUCCAGCUUUGUGAUACACUUUCAAAGAGUCGGAUUGUUUGGGAAUGCAGUCCAAAAUGGGUGGUAAAUUUCAUCUAAAGCUAAAUACUGGCGAAAGACCGAUAGCGAACAAGUACCGUGAGGGAAAGAUGAAAAGAACUUUGAAAAGAGAGUUAAACAGUACGUGAAAUUGUCAAAAGGGAAGCGUUUGACACCAGUGUUGUUUUCUCGAAAAUCAAUUAAAAAAGGCAGGAUUUUGUGUUGUAUUGACUUUAUCAGCUUUCUGCACUCUUUUCUUGUCUUUUUUAAUGCACUUUUCGUUUAACAAGUCAACAUCAAUUUCUUUUGUUGUAAAAGGGUCAUUGGAAGGUGGCUUUCUUUUCGGCGUAAAGUGUUUAUAGCCUCUUGGCCUAUGCAAUCGGAGAGAUUGAGGUCUGCAGCGUAGAUCCUUCGGGGCUAGAUACAUUUGUGCUAAGUUAUAGCAUUUUAUAGACAACUUGUUGACUAUGAUUAGUCAUUGUAGCUUACUCGCUUAUGUUAUUUUACCUACGCUUAGGAUGUUGAUGUGAUACUGCGAGCA